rnacentral:rRNA from 1 species
CAGCCGUAAACAAUGUGCGUUAGGUGUGUCGGUAAUCACGUGUUACUGAUGCGCCGAAGAGAAAUCGUGAAACGCACCACCUGGGAAGUACGGUCGCAAGGCUGAAACUUAAAGGAAUUGGCGGGGGAGCACCACAACAGGUGGAGCCUGCGGUUUAAUUGGAUUCAACGCCGGACAUCUCACCGGAUAAGACAGCUGAAUGAUUGUCAAUCUGAAGGUUUUACAUGACUAGCUGAGAGGAGGUGCAUGGCGUCAGUGACU